GACGUAGGGCGCGAGCGUUGUCCGGAUUUAUUGGGCGUAAAGCGCACGUAGGCGGCUUAGCAAGUCGGAAGUGAAAUCCCUCGGCUCAACCAAGGAAGUGCUUUCGAAACUGCUGAGCUUGAGUACGAAAGAGGAUCGCGGAAUUCCCGGUGUAGAGGUGAAAUUCGUAGAUAUCGGGAGGAACACCAGUGGCGAAGGCGGCGAUCUGGGUCGAUACUGACGCUGAGGUGCGAAAGCGUGGGGAGCAAACAGG
rnacentral:rRNA from 1 species